UACGAAGGGGGUUAGCGUUGCUCGGAAUCACUGGGCGUAAAGCGCACGUAGGCGGAUCUUUAAGUCAGGGGUGAAAUCCUGGAGCUCAACUCCAGAACUGCCUUUGAUACUGGGGAUCUCGAGUCCGGAAGAGGUGAGUGGAACUCCGAGUGUAGAGGUGAAAUUCGUAGAUAUUCGGAAGAACACCAGUGGCGAAGGCGGCUCACUGGUCCGGUACUGACGCUGAGGUGCGAAAGCGUGGGGAGCAAACAGGG
rnacentral:rRNA from 1 species